rnacentral:rRNA from 1 species
UACGUAGGGCGCAAGCGUUGUCCGGAAUUAUUGGGCGUAAAGAGCUCGUAGGCGGCCUGUUGCGUCCGCUGUGAAAUCCCGGGGCUCAACCCCGGGCCUGCAGUGGAUACGGGCUGGCUGGAGGCAGGCAGGGGAGAACGGAAUUCCUGGUGUAGCGGUGAAAUGCGCAGAUAUCAGGAGGAACACCAAUUGCGAAGGCAGCACUCUGGGACGUGACUGACGCUGAGACGCGAAAGCGUGGGGAGCAAACAGG